rnacentral:lncRNA from 1 species
GAGAGGGUUACUUGCCAGAGAGGCAAGAUGCGCCUCAAACUCAGAGUUCCUGACUUCUAUACCAGGACUCUUUCUUUCUUUCUUUCUUUCUUUCUUUCUUUCUUUCUUUCUUUCUUUCUUUCUUUCUUUCUUUCUUUCUUUCUUUCUUUCUUUCUUUCUUUCUUUCUUUCUUUCUUUCUUUCUUUCUUUCUUUCUUUCUUUCUUUCUUUCUUUCUUUCUUUCUUUCUCUCUUUCUCUCUUUCUCUCUUUCUCUCUUUCUCUCUUUCUUUCUUCCUUCCUUCCUUCCUUCCUUCCUUCCUCCCUUCCUCCCUUUCUUUCUUUCUUCCUCCCUUUCUUUCUUCCUUCCUUCCUUCCUUUCUUCCUUUCUUUCUUUCUUUCUUUCUUUCUUUCUUUCUUUCUUUCUUUCUUUCUUUCUUUCUUUCUUUCUUUCUUUCUUUCUUUCUUUCUUUCUUUCUUUCUUUCUUUCUUUCUUUCUUUCUUUCUUUCUUUCUUUCUUUCUUUCUUUCUUUCUCUCUUUCUUUCUUUCUCUCUUUCUUUCUUUCUUCUUUCUUUCUUUCUGUCUGUCUGUCUGUCUGUCUGUCUGUCUGUCUGUCUCCGUCUCCGUCUCCGUCUCCGUUUCUCGGACUCGAAAGCUCCCUGUCUCUUUCUCUUAUCUCUCUCCAUCUCCUCUCUGUGCGCUGGAGACCUAGUAACCCCGGUGCGCGGAUGCCAGGACUGAAGAUCACCGCCGCCGCCGCCACCCCUCCUGGACGCACACUCUCGGUAGACUGGAGGACGGGGGAGGGGGAGGAGAUGCUGUGGACGACGGGGCCACAAUGAGUCUCUGCGGAACCCCUCUACUAGUAUGUGGGGUGGGCAUCAGCGGCUUUGGGGAGAGGAGCAGGAGAGCGAACGUCGGGGUGGUGAGGAACCUCCGAGACUGCAGCCUAGCCGCCUUGUUUAGAGCGCAAGCGAGGGAACCAGCCCGAAGAGCCUAGCCCAGUGCCUGGGAUCACCGCUGAGCCAGCGGUAGUUUGGACUUAGACCGCAGGAUUCCGGACUCCCCCGCCAGCGUGCCGCCUCGAGCUCGGUACUCGAGUCGUGGGCUAGAAGCUAUCCGAAGAUUAAGCUCUCUUUGAAGAAAAUGACCGAAAGUGGCGGCUCGCGCUGGAUCCUUAUCCCCACCCCCAGGUAAGGCGGCGGAUUCCUGUGCCAUUUGGGGCUGGGGCUGGAGCCAGCGCUGAAUUCUCUGGGCCUCGGUUUGCCUGUAGGACUGUCUCUGCCUGCCUGCCUUGCAGUUGGCCUGGUUCGUCACGGUUUGGCCAUUAGCUCCGUGUAUUUGACCGUAACUCCGGAGGAAUGGGUGGAUGAGAACAAUUUCUUCCAUGGAGCGCUCACAGCUUGGUCAGACAGCAAAGACCCCAAGGUCGGCCGGCGCACCCCGGCCAGCGCCAGCCUCCUGACUUUUGUCUUGUUCCUGCACUUGGAUGCUUGGAAGAGAGAGUCAGGGUGGCGACUCUGUGACCCUCCGCCUGCCUCGCUUACAUCCAAUUCCUGCCCCCCGGCGCCCCCCCCCCCCCCGCGGGCCCCGGGGAACCUUAGGUGCGAAGGAGCACUCUUGGAUGGAAAUUAUUCUCUUCCCAAAAGGUGGCAACCAAGGCUGUAAGUGAGUGAGUUGGGUGUCUGGGUGCCUCUGAGAAUUGUGGAGCGGAACUGUGCCUGGGCGAGUGUGUGGACGUGAGUCCUGUCCAAUGGGGCAUUUGUGUGCCCGUGGGAGUGUGUGGCUAUGUGUGGUGUGGAGGGGAACCGUAUGUGCAAUCUGGUGAUGCUUGUGGGGAGUGUGAUGGUGAUUGUGUGAAUUGGGUGAUUGGGUGAGCUCUAGUACAGGCUAUCGUUUUUGUGUACUGUCCAAAGAGCAAAGGCCCUGAACCUCUGUGUGUGUCCCCAUAGAUCCCCCACCCCAUUUUCCUUCCCUGGGUGGCCAAUAGCUGAAGCCAAGACCUGGGGUCUGUUCCCAAAGCCCUCCACCUCCUGCCCCCUCCCCUCAUCUUUUCCCCAUCCAUCUGCCACCUGGGACAGAGCCAGUCCUAGGAGAGAAGUAGCUGCUGCCAAUUGUCCAGCGACCACUGAAGGAUCUUGUCUGUGCACUCCCCUCCAGUGGGGAGGCCAAUAGAAGGCGCUGAGCUGGGAGGACAUGCAGACUGACCACCAGGCUUCCUCCCUCCUAGCCCCUUGGCCAGACCCAUCUCCACCUCACCAACCCAACAGUCAGCUCCAAGAGGAAGUUGCCUUCAACUUGUGGGGUGAGAGAAGGAAGGGAUGCUGGCAGGACUGUGGGGAGGGUGGGCUGUGAGGGGCAGGAAGAGGGGUCAGUGCAACGAAGGGGGCCUGCUGUCCUGAGCUGGUUUUGAUCUUUGGUUUCCUAGCUGUGUGAGUGUCUCUGAAUCAUAAAGCUGGAGAACCGAAUGUGGAAACCAGCUGCUCCUCCACAGCCUGGCUGACUCUGAGAAUCAGUGUGUGAACGUGUGUGCACGUGUCUUUGUGCAGGAUUCGAUUUGGGGCAAUGUUGAAUCUAAGAGUACUUUAUUCUGGGUACUUGUGUUUGUGCCUCCACAAAUAUAUAUCUGUGUGUGUGUGUGUAUAUAUAUAUAUAUAUUUCUCUGUGUGUGUUGGUGUAUCUAUGUGGUUGGGGAUUGGGAGGAGACAUUAAAAUGUGUUUGGUUUGGGGGGCUUUGGGAGGUGGGUUCAAGUCCUUGUGUAGGUAUAUUUGGGGGGUGAGGGUGGGGAAGGGUGUUUUUCUGGGUGUGAUAGUGUCUCUGUGAGUAUUUCAGGGUGUGUGUAGGUUUGUGUCUAGGAUUAGGAUCCAGGAGUCCUAGUUCCCCACAGAGAUUAUGGAGGAGGAAGAGAGGCUGGGCAUUGGCACCACUAUGGGCACUCUCAGAAAUACACAUGUUUAAUGUAAGAGCUUGCCUUUCUACAGCCCUUUAGGGUUAAGGGGCAGCUAGGUGGCAAAGCGGAUAGAGUACUGGGCCUGGAGUUAGGAAGACUCAUUUUCCUGAGUUAAAACCCAUCCUGAGUGUUCUACAUCUCUUAUAAUCAGAGAGAUGCAAAUCAAAACAACUCUGAGGUAUCACCUCACACCUAGCAGAUUGGCUAACAUAACAGCAAAGGAAAGUAAUGAAUGCUGGAGGGGAUGUGGCAAAGUAGGGACAUUAAUUCAUUGCUGGUGGAGCUGUGAACUGAUCCAACCAUUCUGGAGGGCAAUUUGGAACUAUGCCCAAAGGGCGACAAAAGAAUAUCUACCCUUUGACCCAGCCAUAGCACUGCUGGGUCUGUACCCCAAAGAGAUAAUGGACACAAAGACUUGUACAAAAAUAUUCAUAGCUGCGCUCUUUGUGGUGGCCCAAAACUGGAAAACGAGGGGAUGCCCAUCAAUUGGGGAAUGGCUGAACAAACUGUGGUAUAUGUUGGUGAUGGAAUACUAUUGUGCUCAAAGGAAUAAUAAAGUGGAGAAGUUCCAUGGAGACUGGAACA